UGUAGGGAUUAGCGUCAUGCACCUGACACGCACACAUAUAAGCAGCGUUACAAAGUUAAAUCGAAAACAGUUACAGUGAAAGUAUAUUAAAUUUUGCAUUUCAUUUAAAUUUUUCGUGACUGCGAAGUGAUACUCUGGUGUAAAUAUUAUUUUAUUUAUUGUUUGCUAUUAUGAUUUUUUUGCAGAAGCCUUAACAGUGAUUUAAUCACUUGCGACAGCCGAUGGUUACUAAAUUAGAAUUAGUAAUAUUUAUCAACUACUUACUUAUCUAAAAGUGCAUAAGAGAGCAUCACACUUCGAAAUAGAUAUUUAAUUUACAUAUGCAGAAAUUUGAUAAUUUUUUUAUGUUAGUGGUAUGAAUAUAUUUCAGUAUUUGUUCUAAAUCGUUAUCGCUUAUUUGUUGGCGAAUACAUUGAAGUUCUGAUGUAGUAUAUGGAUUAAGCAACUAUUUUAGUAAACUUAUUGUGCGCUUAUAAUUAUGCAACUGGGUGUACAUAUACGAAGAUGCAAACGUCGAUGUGUUGACAAAUUUAAACUUGUAUGAAUCAUCAGAAACGCGGAAAUACACCUACAUUCAAGGAGAUUCGUUGAAAAUAUUAUUUAAGACUUAAGAGUUGUAAAAUUGGAAAAGGAAGAAUUCCUCUUCAAAGUGAAAAGAAUUGUAUUCCAAAACUGAAACGGUUGUGGAUACAUUCAAAAGUCUCCCAAUAGACUUACAGAACCGACCGAACGCUGGCUGAAAUACAUUUGUGUUAACCGUAUCAAGUGAUAUCAUGAAAGUCUGCUACGAUUUACUCGAUUUUAGAUGAAAACAAUGCAAAUACCAGCGUCACUGACGCCGAUGCUACAAUGCCCGCCGAUUGAGAAGCCCCGCUGCGACCUUCCUGGAAGAAUUGAGUGUACAUCCGCC